GGGCGGAGGGUUCGAGGGAGACCGGCUAGCAAGGGGGUCCACCCUGGUGUGGCUCGGUCCCCCGAGAGAAGGAGCGAGAGGAGCGCUCGAAGGGACACUGGGGAAAUGGAUCUUUACAGUUUAGGAUGAUGAAGAAGUAAGCGAUAGGAGUCGGAGGCAGCUAUAUUUUUCCUGUUUUGCGAAGAAGUCCAGGGAGAAUUCUAAGUUUAUUUAAAUAAACAGCAAACAGCAUUGAUAUAGUUCAACAUCAUGCUACCGCGGUGUUUGACAAUCUUAGGAGGGAAUAGAAACGCGUUUCUCCGUGUGUCAGGAUGGCCGAGCGGUCUAAGGCGCUGCGUUCAGGUCGCAGUCUCCCCUGGAGGCGUGGGUUCGAAUCCCACUUCUGACAACAUACUCCGGUUUCUAUUUACUGCAUGUAGAUACAAAAGACUCCCCUGAACAAGGAAAAGCCCUCAACCCAGAUCCCUAAACUUGCUGUAACUGACCUGAGUCUUUUCAUGCUCAGACUGCAGUGUCAAACUUUGAUGAGACUCGGAUUCCCCAGCAUCUUGCCGGGCCAGCUCCCACCACCAAUUCUAAUUCAGCACGUUUGCUGGGUCCUCAAAGACCCGGAAAGGAAAUCAACACACCAAACGGGGGAAAGUACUAGAGAGCAAAGGUUCCUUCAAUGUGAAGCCAGCUGGCAUAGGACUUAGGCCAGGCGCAGGAAAAAGCAGUUAAAAAUGUGAAAUGACAACCAGGGGACAAAUGAGGUGUUACUGCAACCUCUCCAGCUGCAAGAAAUCACCCUUAGCUAAAUAUAACGUACCAUUGCUCUAAGCAAGGCCGCCUUCUUUUCUGAGAUAAAAAUAAAUCUCUCUUUGCACAUGGGAGAGGUACGGUGUGGAUUGGGCUGAUUGGGAAGUAACUUACACAAAUUUAUCCUUCCCUUAUAUGUCAGUUAACUGGCAAUAGAGUUGAGCCUUAGGAUAUUUCCCAGGUUUAGUCACUUGCUAUAAAAAACACAUAUUCACUUAA